rnacentral:rRNA from 1 species
AUUGAACGCUGGCAGCAGGCCUAACACAUGCAAGUCGAGCGGAUGAAGGGAGCUUGCUCCUGGAUUCAGCGGCGGACGGGUGAGUAAUGCCUAGGAAUCUGCCUGGUAGUGGGGGAUAACGUCCGGAAACGGGCGCUAAUACCGCAUACGUCCUGAGGGAGAAAGUGGGGGAUCUUCGGACCUCACGCUAUCAGAUGAGCCUAGGUCGGAUUAGCUAGUUGGUGGGGUAAAGGCCUACCAAGGCGACGAUCCGUAACUGGUCUGAGAGGAUGAUCAGUCACACUGGAACUGAGACACGGUCCAGACUCCUACGGGAGGCAGCAGUGGGGAAUAUUGGACAAUGGGCGAAAGCCUGAUCCAGCCAUGCCGCGUGUGUGAAGAAGGUCUUCGGAUUGUAAAGCACUUUAAGUUGGGAGGAAGGGCAGUAAGUUAAUACCUUGCUGCUUUGACGUUACCAACAGAAUAAGCACCGGCUAACUUCGUG